GAUGAAGAACGCAGUGAAAUGCGAUACGUAGUGUGAAUUGCAGAAUUCAGUGAAUCAUCGAAUCUUUGAACGCACAUUGCACCUCUCGGUAUUCCGGGAGGUAUGCCUGUUCGAGCGUCAUUUGUACCCUCAAGCUCUGCUUGGUGUUGGGUGUUUGUUCCGCCUCUGUGUGUGAACUCGCCUCAAAACAAUUGGCAGCCGGCGUACUUGUUUCGGAGCGCAGCACAUUUUGCGAUCCAGAUCAACGUACAGCGGCAUCCAAGAAGCCUUAUUUAACGCUCUUGACCUCGGAUCAGGUAGGGAUACCCGCUGAACUCAAGCAUAUCAAUAAGCGGAGGA
rnacentral:misc_RNA from 1 species